UGGGCGUGAGGAGUGCGUAGGCGGUUUGGUGAAGUUGGAAGUAAGAGCCCGGGGAAUAACCUCGGAAUUGCUUUCGAAACUACUAAUGUAGAGUGUAGUAGGGGAUGAUGGAAUUCGUAGUGUAGAGGUGCCAUUCUUACAUAUUAGGAGGAACACCGGUGGCGAAGGCGGUCAUCUGGGCUACAACUGACGCUAAUGCACGAAAGCGUGGGGAGCAAACAGGA
rnacentral:rRNA from 1 species